UGCCAGCCGCCGCGGUAAUACGAAGGGUGCUAGCGUUGUUCGGAAUUAUUGGGCGUAAAGAGCAUGUAGGCGGACUAUUAGGUCUGGCGUGAAAGCUCGGGGCUCAACCCCGGAAGUGCACUUGAAACAGCAAGACCUGAAUACGGUAGAGGAGAGAGGAAUUCCUGGUGUAGAGGUGAAAUUCGUAGAUAUCAGGAGGAACAUCAGUGGCGAAGGCGAGUUUCUGGACGAUUCCUGACACUGAGGCACGAAGGCUAGGGGAGCGAACCGGAUUAGAUA
rnacentral:rRNA from 1 species